rnacentral:rRNA from 1 species
GCGGGCCGUGAGAGCGGGAGCCCGGAGAUGGGCACUGAGACAAGGGCCCAGGUCCUACGGGGCGCAGCAGUCGCGAAAACUUUGCAAUACACGAAAGUGUGACAGGGUCAUCCCGAGUGCCGACCGCUGAGGUUGGCUUUUACCCAGUCUAGAAAGCUGGGGGAAUAAGGAGAGGGCAAGUCUGGUGUCAGCCGCCGCGGUAAUACCAGCUCUCCGAGUGGUGUGGACGUUUAUUGGGCCUAAAGCAUCCGUAGCUGGCUGAC